rnacentral:rRNA from 1 species
CACGUAGGGCGCGAGCGUUUGUCCGGAAUUAUUGGGCGUAAAGGGCUCGUAGGCGGUUUGUCGCGUCGGGAGUGAAAUCCACUGGCUUAACUGGUGGCUUGCUUUCGAUACGGGCAGACUGGAGGUAUGCAGGGGGAGAACGGAAUUCCUGGUGUAGCGGUGAAAUGCGCAGAUAUCAGGAGGAACACCGGUGGCGAAGGCGGGGUCUCUGGGCCGAUACUGACGUGAGGAGCGAAAGCGUGGGGGAGCGAACAGG